GAUGAAGAACGUAGCGAAAUGCGAUACUUGGUGUGAAUUGCAGAAUCCCGUGAACCAUCGAGUCUUUGAACGCAAGUUGCGCCCGAAGCCAUUAGGCCGAGGGCACGCCUGCCUGGGCGUCACACGUCGUUGCCCCCCCAUCUACUCCUUCGGGAUUGCGGGGGGCGGAUGAUGGCCUCCCGUGCGCCUCGCCGCGCGGUUGGCAUAAAUGCCAAGUCCUCGGCGACGCACGCCACGACAAUCGGUGGUUGCGAAACCUCGGUUGCCCGUCGUGUGCGGUCGUCGCGCAUCGAGAGCUCGAAAAAAUUGCCGGGUUCCGGCUCGGCUUUCAACGCGACCCCAGGUCAGGCGGGGUUACCCGCUGAAUUUAAGCAUAUCAAUAAGCGGAGGA
rnacentral:misc_RNA from 1 species